CCUACGGGGGGCAGCAGUGGGGAAUAUUGCACAAUGGGGGAAACCCUGAUGCAGCGACGCCGCGUGAGUGAAGAAGUAAUUCGUUAUGUAAAGCUCUAUCAGCAGGGAAGAAAAUGACGGUACCUGAGUAAGAAGCCCCGGCUAACUACGUGCCAGCAGCCGCGGGAAUACGUAGGGGGCAAGCGUUAUCCGGAUUUACUGGGUGUAACGGGAGCGUAGACGGCAGUGCAAGUCUGGAGUGAAAGGCGGGGGCUCAACCCCCGGACUGCUCUGGAAACUGUACGGCUGGAGUGCAGGAGAGGUAAGUGGAAUUCCGGGUGUAGCGGUGAAAUGCGUAGAUAUACGGAGGAACACCAGUGGCGAAGGCGGAUUGCUGGACAGUAACUGACGCUGAGGCGCGAAAGCGUGGGGAGCAAACAGGAUUAGAUACCCUUGUAGUC
rnacentral:rRNA from 1 species